GACCCUAUGCAGCUUCUACUGUAGUUAGUUAUCACAUUCUCANAAACUUUGNGUAGCGUACAAGGUUAAUGUUUGUUUUAAAAACAAAAAGUCGAUAGACACAGUUGAAACACCUUUNUUGGUUUUAUGUUAAUGUUCACCUAAUUUGUCUUCCAAGGUUAGGGAUAAAUGACUAAUUGGCAGUUUGUCUGGGGCGGACGUCUUUAAUAGAGUAUCAGNGACAUCCACAAGNUAUGUCGUNAAUUGGACGGAGNCCAAGCAAGCCGNGAACGGUAUAAUAAGGUAUAAUGACUUAAGCANGNUUAACNGAGAGACCUAUAAGUCAAACAGAUACG
rnacentral:rRNA from 1 species